rnacentral:ncRNA from 1 species
CUACUGAUGCUGUGAGGUAUCAGGAUGGAGCAGCAGAAGUCAGCCGAGGCCGUAGUAGGCUGGUCACCGCUAGCUGAAGGGC